UACGAAGGGGGCUAGCGUUGCUCGGAAUCACUGGGCGUAAAGCGCACGUAGGCGGCUUUCUAAGUCAGGGGUGAAAUCCUGGAGCUCAACUCCAGAACUGCCUUUGAUACUGGAGAGCUUGAGUCCGGAAGAGGUGAGUGGAACUCCUAGUGUAGAGGUGAAAUUCGUAGAUAUUAGGAAGAACACCAGUGGCGAAGGCGGCUCACUGGUCCGGUACUGACGCUGAGGUGCGAAAGCGUGGGGAGCAAACAGG
rnacentral:rRNA from 1 species